GAAUAUUGGACAAUGGGCGCAAGCCUGAUCCAGCCAUGCCGCGUGAGUGAUGAAGGCCCUAGGGUUGUAAAGCUCUUUCAGUGGUGAAGAUAAUGACGGUACCCGCAGAAAAAGCCCCGGCUAACUUCGUGCCAGCAGCCGCGGUAAUACGAAGGGGGCUAGCGUUGCUCGGAAUCACUGGGCGUAAAGCGCACGUAGGCGGCUUCUUAAGUCAGGGGUGAAAUCCUGGAGCUCAACUCCAGAACUGCCUUUGAUACUGAGAAGCUCGAGUCCGGGAGAGGUGAGUGGAACUGCGAGUGUAGAGGUGAAAUUCGUAGAUAUUCGCAAGAACACCAGUGGCGAAGGCGGCUCACUGGCCCGGUACUGACGCUGAGGUGCGAAAGCGUGGGGAGCAAACAGG
rnacentral:rRNA from 1 species